UGAUUCUUAGCUCAGUAGCUAGAGCUUAUGUCCCGCGACCGAAAGGUCUCGGGAUCGAAUCCCGCUACAGGCAG
rnacentral:tRNA from 1 species